CAGUCGCCGCGGUAAUACGAAGGGGGCUAGCGUUGUUCGGAAUUACUGGGCGUAAAGGGCGCGUAGGCGGCCAUUCAAGUUAGAUGUGAAAGCCCUGGGCUCAACCUAGGAAUUGCAUUUGAUACUGUUUGGCUUGAGUUCGGGAGAGGUGAGUGGAAUUCCCAGUGUAGAGGUGAAAUUCGUAGAUAUUGGGAAGAACACCAGUGGCGAAGGCGGCUCACUGGACCGACACUGACGCUGAGGCGCGAAAGCGUGGGGAGCAAAUAGGAUUAGAUACCCCCGUAGUCCCUGUCUCUUAUAC
rnacentral:rRNA from 1 species